UACGUAGGGUCCGAGCGUUGUCCGGAAUUAUUGGGCGUAAAGGGCUCGUAGGCGGUUUGUCACGUCGGGAGUGAAAACUCGGGGCUCAACCCCGAGCCUGCUUCCGAUACGGGCAGACUAGAGGUAUGCAGGGGAGAAUGGAAUUCCUGGUGUAGCGGUGAAAUGCGCAGAUAUCAGGAGGAACACCGGUGGCGAAGGCGGUUCUCUGGGCAUUACCUGACGCUGAGGAGCGAAAGUGUGGGGAGCGAACAGG
rnacentral:rRNA from 1 species